GCAUAUCAAUAAGCGGAGGAAAAGAAACCAACAGGGAUUGCCCUAGUAACGGCGAGUGAAGCGGCAACAGCUCAAAUUUGAAAUCUGGCUUCGGCCCGAGUUGUAAUUUGCAGAGGAUGUUUCUGGCGCGGUGCCUUCCGAGUUCCCUGGAACGGGACGCCACAGAGGGUGAGAGCCCCGUAUGGUUGGACACCAAGCCUGUGUGAAACUCCUUCGACGAGUCGAGUAGUUUGGGAAUGCUGCUCAAAAUGGGAGGUAAAUCUCUUCUAAAGCUAAAUACCGGCCAGAGACCGAUAGCGCACAAGUAGAGUGAUCGAAAGAUGAAAAGCACCUUGAAAAGGGGGUUAAACAGUACGUGAAAUUGUUGAAAGGGAAGCACUUGUGACCAGACUUGUGCCGGGCGGUUCAUCCGGGGUUCUCCCCGGUGCACUCCGCCCGGUAUAGGCCAGCAUCGGUUCUUUCUGGGGGAUAAGAACGGUGGGAACGUGGCCCUCCCUCGGGAGGGUGUUAUAGCCCGCCGUACGAUACCCUGGAGGGGACCGAGGUUCGCGCUCCGCAAGGAUGCUGGCGUAAUGGUCACCAGUGACCCGUCUUGAAACACGGACCAAGGAGUCGUCCAUUAGAGCGAGCGUUUGGGUGUCAAACCCGCACGCGUAAUGAAAGUGAAAUUAGGUGAGAGCUUCGGCGCAUCAUCGACCGAUCCUGAUGUUCUCGGAUGGAUUUGAGUAAGAGUUUUAACGGACGGACCCGAAAGACAGUGAACUAUGCUUGUAUAGGGUGAAGCCAGAGGAAACUCUGGUGGAGGCUCGCAGCGGUUCUGACGUGCAAAUCGAUCGUCAAAUAUGAGCAUGGGGGCGAAAGACUAAUCGAACUGUCUAGUAGCUGGUUACCGCCGA
rnacentral:rRNA from 1 species